UACAUAGGUCUCAAGCGUUGUUCGGAUUCAUUGGGCGUAAAGGGUGCGUAGGUGGCAUGGUCAGUCGGAUGUGAAAUCCCGGGGCUCAACCCCGGAACUGCAUUCGAUACUGCCAGGCUAGAGUACUGGAGAGGAGAUUGGAAUUUACGGUGUAGCAGUGAAAUGCGUAGAUAUCGUAAGGAAGACCAGUGGCGAAGGCGGAUCUCUGGACAGUUACUGACACUGAGGCACGAAGGCCAGGGGAGCAAACGGG
rnacentral:rRNA from 1 species